rnacentral:rRNA from 1 species
GAUGAACGCUGGCGGCGUGCCUAAUACAUGCAAGUCGAGCGAACAGAUAAGGAGCUUGCUCCUUUGACGUUAGCGGCGGACGGGUGAGUAACACGUGGGUAACCUACCUAUAAGACUGGGAUAACUUCGGGAAACCGGAGCUAAUACCGGAUAACAUUUGGAACCGCAUGGUUCUAAAGUGAAAGAUGGUUUUGCUAUCACUUAUAGAUGGACCCGCGCCGUAUUAGCUAGUUGGUAAGGUAACGGCUUACCAAGGCAACGAUACGUAGCCGACCUGAGAGGGUGAUCGGCCACACUGGAACUGAGACACGGUCCAGACUCCUACGGGAGGCAGCAGUAGGGAAUCUUCCGCAAUGGGCGAAAGCCUGACGGAGCAACGCCGCGUGAGUGAUGAAGGGUUUCGGCUCGUAAAACUCUGUUAUUAGGGAAGAACAAACGUGUAAGUAACUGUGCACG